UUUAUUAUUUUAAAUUUUAAUAUUUUUUAGCUUAGGCGACUAUAUGAAACGGUCUAUGAUGAAAAAGGAGUUAAACUAAAGUUGGCCUCUUUGUUGUUAAACGAUUGUAUUCAUUCAUCCAUUUUCAAAAAACACAAAAGGGAGAGGAGGGUGCGUGAAUUGAAGAAGCCAUUGAAGGCCAAGGUCGGACCUCCAAUUUCCUCCAACGACCGGCGACAUCCCAUUUUCACUCUCCUUGCCGCCGGUAAUUCCUGAAGCGUCAUGUUUCUUUUAUCAAACCCUAAUUAUUGGGGUUUUUUUGGAUAUAUGUGGCUAACACCACCAUAUCUCGGCCGUCCGAAUGUCGCCACUUCUUAUUACGUCUCCUCGCUGCCGGUAAUCAUUUCUAAUCCUAAGGGGUGCGGAGGUCGAGAUGGCUUAGGUGGAAGCCAAGGUGGUGGGAAUUUGAUUCCCAAGGAGCUUUUUCAGUCACUAGAACCACAAGAAAGACAUAUCCCUAUCUCAGAGACACAAGAAGAUGAUUCACAAGCACAUGACUUUGGUAACCACGUACCGGACUCCAAAGAGUCAUAUGGAGGAAGGUGAAGGGUCAAACCAUGCACCAAGAGAGGUUUUAAGCCAUACUGGAUUGUGCUAAGUUUGUAAGCUAAUAUAUGAUUCAUGAUAUUUGUAUCAAAUAAUAUUUUCAAUUCACGUGUUUAUUUGGUUUUCAAUUCAAGUUUGAUAAUAACAAGGUUAGUGGGUUCAUCACUGAUAUUUCUAGGGCCAUUUUCGAAAACCUUGGUUCAAUUAUAGUGAGGUAGACGUUGUCACAAGGACACAUUGGUGGAACUCAUUCAUAGCAUGUAUGAAUCGAAUUAUGAUGAAUGAAAUUAAUUAUAUUAGUUUAUUAAUAACUUGGUUUAAUGUUUGAUUAAAGGGUCUUUAUGAAUGGGCUCCUGAGUUAGAUGGUCGAGUGAGGAAAGGUUUACAAGAUGAAAGUUGUAGAUCGUCUGAGAGACUUACAAUACUAGGAGCUUAAGAAAGCCAAAGAAAUGCCAAAAUGGUUGGGGGAGACCAUCUAUGAAGCCAAGAAGAAGAGAAGUGAAGACCCCAUGUUUCUGGAAAAAUAUGAAAAAGUGAAUAAGAACCAAAGAGGUGGUUCCCUAAAUAAUCCAAUUGAGCCGUCACACUUUCAAGGUUCUAUUUCGGCGGCACAUCAUGCUAGAAAAAUGGGAAAGAGUAGAGGACGAGUACUCCCUACUACUCCCGAGUUGUUCUUGAAGACUGAUUUUAGACUGAUCCUGGAAAAGGAGAAAUUCUAGCAAACAAGAAAGCAAACGAAAUCUCGGUACAUACUUCUAAACAUAUAUUUAAGUUAGUUUCAUGUAUUUAAUAGUAGUUUUGGUUGAAAAUACAAAAUAUAAGCAUGUUAGAACCAAAUAUAGGACAUUUUAGGCCAUUAUACUUGAAAAUGAAUGAAUAUAAGUAGUUUGAAGUUAGUUUAAGAUAUAAACACCUCAAACAUUAUAUAUAUAGUUAGUUUCAUGUAUUUAUAAGUAGGUUUGAUUGAAAAUACAAAAUAUAUCCAUGUUAGAACCAAAUAUAGGGCAUUUUAGGCCAUUAUACUUGAAAAUGAAUGAAUAUGAGUAAUUUGAAGUUAGUUUAAGUUAUAAACACUUCGAACAUCAUAUAUAUAGUUAGUUUAAUGUAUUUAUAAGUAGUUUUGAUUGAAAAUACAAAAUAUAGCCAUGUUAGACCCAAAUAUAGACCAUUUUUAGCCCAUUGUAGGCCAUUUUAUAUUACUAUGAGUACAUUUAACCAAAUGUAGGAGACAUACAACAAGAAGUUGGAUGAUUGUACCACUUAGGGGUCACAGCCGAACCCUAAUCUAUUGUAUUGGGAGACAGUUGGUGGGAGAACAGAGGAAAAGUGUAGGGGUUGGGUUAGGGAGAUCAUUUGUACUACAACUCUUCAUCUGGGCAAGGAGAUGGCUCUUCACAACCAUAUGAGCCCUCCAAUUUUUUCUCAGCUUGAGGCGCAGGCGAAGGCAAAGGUUGCUGUACGGAUGGAAGAGGUGGAGGCAAGGGUCGCAACACGGGUGGAAAAGUCAAACCAGGUCCUCCUGCAAGAAAUGAUGAGGAACAUGUCUAGUUUCAGCCACAUGUUCUCAAGUUGCAACACAGUCCCCCCCCCCCUACAAUGCAGAUAGAAGAUAACCAAGGGUUUGGUGGUGGCAGUAGUGUUAUAAAGACUCAUGUGACCUUGUAGUUUGUUUGGUUUUGGCAACUAGGUAACUAACUUAUAGUUUCUAUACAGUUAGUCUAACUAUAUGCAUUUAGUGUCUAUAUUCAUCGGCAUCUAGCUUUGUUUCUAGAUGUGUCGGUAUAUUUUUUUUGGAACCCGAAUUCUAAUUUAUUUCCCGACCGAGAUCUAUUUUGCGUACAUAUAUUUAAUAUAGGUAGUUUGUCUAACUAUAGGCAUUUAGUGUCUAUAGUUAUCGGCAUCUAACUUAUUAGUUUCUAGAUUUAUCGAUAUAUAUUUUUGUAGAACCCAACUUCUA